rnacentral:rRNA from 1 species
CGCGGGAUUGACGGGGUGCAGCAGUCGCGAAAACUCCGCAAUACACGAAAGUGUGACGGGGCUAUCCCGAGUGCCGUCCGCUGAGGAUGGCUUUUCCCUAGUGUAUAAAGCUGGGGGAAUAAGGAGAGGGCAAGACUGGUGUCAGCCGCCGCGGUAAUACCAGCUCUCCGAGUGGUGGGGACGCUUAUUGGGCCUAAAGCAUUCGUAGCCUGUUGGGCAAGUCCUCCGUUAAAUCCAACGAUUCAAUCGUUGGGCUGCGGGGGAUACUGUCCGGCUAGGGGGCGGGAGAGGCCGACGGUAUUCUCGGGGUAGGGGUGAAAUCCUAUAAUCCCGGGAGGACCACCAGUGGCGAAGGCUGUCGGCUAGAACGCGCCCGACGGUGAGGGAUGAAAGCUGGGGGAGCGAACCGGAUUAGAUACCCGGGUAGUCCCAGCUGUAAACGAUGCAGGCUAGGUGUUGACGCGGCUACGUGCCGCUUCAGUGCCGCAGGGAAGCCGUUAAGCCUGCCGCCUGGGAAGUACGGCCGCAAGGCUGAAACUUAAAGGAAUUGGCGGGGGAGCACCACAAGGGGUGAAGCUUGCGGUUUAAUUGGAGUCAACGCCGGAAAUCUCACCGGGGGCGACAGCAGAAUGAAGGUCAGAUUGAAGGUCUUACCAGACAAGCUGAGAGGAGGUGCAUGGCCGUCGCCAGUUCGUGCCGUGAGGUGUCCUGUUAAGUCAGGCAACGAUCGAGACCCGCGUCCCCUGUUGCUCGGCCUUCGGGCAUAGGACACUGGGGAGACUGCCGCCGAGAAGGCGGAGGAAGGAGCGGGCCACGGCAGGUCAGUAUGCCCCGAAUCCCCCGGGCCACACGCGAGCUGCAAUGGCAGGUACAGAGGGUGCCAACCCCGAAAGGGGAAGGAAAUCCCGAAAGCCUGCCGUAGUUGGGAUUGAGGGUUGAAACUCACCCUCGUGAACAUGGAAUCCCUAGUAACCGCGUGUCACUAUCGCGCGGUGAAUACGUCCCUGCUCCUUGCACGAAUUCGCCGAAUCACUAGU